GACGGAGGGGGCAAGCGUUGUUCGGAAUUAUUGGGCGUAAAGGGCGCGUAGGCGGAUCUGUGUGUCUGGCGUGAAAUCUCCACCACUUAACGGGGAGAGGUCGCUGGAAACUGCAGAUCUGGAGUUUGUUAGAGGACCAUGGAAUUCCAGGUGUAGCGGUGGAAUGCGUAGAUAUCUGGAAGAACACCGGUGGCGAAGGCGGUGGUCUGGGACAAAACUGACGCUGAGGCGCGAAAGCCAGGGGAGCAAACGGG
rnacentral:rRNA from 2 species